rnacentral:lncRNA from 1 species
UUUUAUAAAGCGAGACCAGUUUCUCCUUUAUUCUGCCUUCUCCCUCUCUUUCCCCCUUUCUCGCGCUUUCCCUUUCUUUACUUUCUCUCUUCUCUCUACUUCUUAUGACUAUCUGCUAUUAGCGUUUUUGAGCGUGUCCGUUUGUGCGUGCCAAUUGCUCGCACGGGCAAGCUCCGAACCCGAUUUGUUGCGAGUGCUAGCUGCAAAAGAAGGAGGUGAAGGGGGUCGGAUAAAUAGGCUGUCCAAUUCCAAGCGCGGCAACAGAACGAUAGUCGAGAAGAAAAAGUGAGACAAUGAAAGAGUUAAAGUUGAUACCAUUGAACGAGAAACGUCGCCACAUGUAUACGAGUCUGAUUUAUUUUAUUUUUGCAUAGUCACCCUUUUUGCCUUCCCCAUUUCCCCUUUUACUUUGUGACCCCAUCUUCACGCGUGGAGACAUUGCAUUCUAUUGUUUUUUCGCCAUGACUACGUGGAGAGAUAAAGCCAGAAAGAACUCUCGGAAUGAUUUAGAAAGUUCUUUAUACAGAAGAAGCAUUCAUUUCAUUUCUAUGAUGUAAAUCUUUCUUCGUAUCGAUUCUAUCGUGCAAAAGUAUUUUGACACAUAUAUGUCACAUGUUUAUACAAUAAUCGAUCUGUAAUAAAACAAACGACAUUAUUGCGUAGAUCUUAAAACAUUUGAUUUAUAUUGAUAAUGAAUAUCCAUGCAACCGCGUUCAUCGUGCGCAGCUAAUCGUUCUUGUUCUUCUAUUCCACCCACGGAUUCCUUUUUCGUCGAUCCCUCGUCCAGCGGUAAUCCGUCAUUCCGACGCGGCGUGAAGAGGGUGGUGUAGAAAUUGAAAUGCUAAAAGCGAAAUUGGGUAGGAAUUAGGAAAAACGCCGCGAGAUGGAACGAUGUUUACCCGUCGCUGCAGCAGAAGGGCGCACGAAGGUGGGCCCUAUGGCGAAGUCGGAGAUUUCUCCAUCCCCCAUAGAGGAAAUGGGAACGCGGGGUUGGCUCUGGCCACCCUUCCUUGCCCAGUGGCUGCUGCGUGCCCGAUGAGGGCGAGAGCGAGGGCGAUGAGGCGGGGGCAUCGUGUUAGCGUGGCAAAGGGGAGACUAGAUCGAAACGACGGGGUGAGGGUCGGCUACGAGGUCGCGACGAUGAAGCGUGCUCCGAGUGCCGCGUAAAUAACUUCCAUCUUCGAGGGUGCAGUCGUCUCUCGACAGGAGGCAGAGGAGGAGUAAAAAGAGGAGGAAGCGACUCUCGAACCCGAGGGCAAGAGAGGACAAAAGAAAAAGAAAGUCCGAAUGCAAGGGGCAAGAGGGAAGAAUGGAGAUGGCGGCAGUUAUAGGAGGUAGCGGCGACAUCGUUCCAUGUAGCGCGCACGAGAAAGACAGACUAAAAAAGAAGUUAAUUUUGCAAGAAUGUUUCUGAAAGAUUUUUGCGCAAGUUUAAUAUACGGUACGUCAAAUGAGGUCUUAACAAUCUUAUUAAUUCUCGAGGAAGUCUGCGAUGAAAAGAUCCAAAUUCUUCGUAAGGACCGUUUCUUUGAAGAAUGCUAAAAAGUCUUUGCACAGAUUCACGCGUGAAUGGGUCGCCCAGUGGAUUAUCUAGAAGAAAGAGAACCGAUGGCCUUGGGGAUACACCUGAAGGGUUGUUAAAACUUGGCUCUCGUUUUAAGCUUUUCUUCUUGUCUACGGGAAGACCAAAGUAAGGGUUAAAAAUGAAUAAGAUGGAGUAUGGCAAGAGGGAGAUGUCGAAACAAGUAAACGAGAAACGUGUAGGAGUACGAAGGGGAUGAAAUACGGGGUGUAAAGUAUGGGGAUCGAGUGUGAACCUGAUAGAAAAAGGAUGGACAACGAGACACAACGAGAAAGGGAAGCAGAAAAAGAUGGGGUAACAGUCAGAAAGGCGAAAAAGAGAAGUUUCGUUAUUGAUCAAAGGAAACGGGAGAAUGUCGCUUCCCUCUCCGAUAGCUCAUUCUACUCACAGCUCGUCUUCGACUUCUCAUUAAAAGUAUACCGAGUUCGUCCGCUUAUUUGUGACGUAACCGCAAUCUGUAAGCAGGCAUAAUGCUACAUAAUACAGCACGUCCUAAAGAAAAUAAUGCAAAAUAAUUAAAAAUUUUUAAUCCGUUUUUAUUCGUAUUUAUCGUAUUAUCUGUGUGUACAUUCUAUUAUAUAUAAUAUAAAUAAAAGAUCCCAUAUAGUAUUA